rnacentral:rRNA from 1 species
AUUGAACGCUGGCGGCAGGCCUAACACAUGCAAGUCGAACGAGUGGCGGACGGGUGAGUAAUGUCUGGGAAACUGCCUGAUGGAGGGGGAUAACUACUGGAAACGGUAGCUAAUACCGCAUACCAUCGGAUGUGCCCAGAUGGGAUUAGCUAGUAGGUGGGGUAACGGCUCACCUAGGCGACGAUCCCUAGCUGGUCUGAGAGGAUGAACAGCGUCACGAGAACUGCGACACGGUCCAGAGCCCGGCGUGAGGCAGAAGUGGGGAAUAUGGGACAAUGGGCGCAAGCCUGAUGCAGCCAUGCUGCGUGUAUGAAGAAGGUCUUCGGAUUGUAAAGAACUUUCAGAGUGUAGGCGUUACCCGCAGAAGAAGGACCGGCUAACUCCGUGCCAUCAGCCGCGAGAAUAC